GCCACCCGUGGCCCGGGGGAGGGAAGCUGCCGCUGUAGCCCGCGAAUCCGGCGUCAUUGCGAAUUUGGACCGCCUGCUCCGGCAUCAGGCGGGUGGCC
rnacentral:tRNA from 1 species